UACGAAGGGGGCGAGCGUUGUUCGGAUUUACUGGGCGUAAAGGGCGCGCAGGGCGGCGAUCUUUGUCAGGCGUGAAAGCCCCCGGGCUUUGAAACCUGGGAACUGCGCUUGGGACGGGAUUGCUGGGAGACCGGGAGAGGAGAGUGGAAAUUCCCAGUGUAGAGGUGAAAUUCGUAGAUAUUGGGAAGAACACCGGUGGCGAAAGGCGGCUCUCUGGACCGGAUCUGACGCUGAGGCGCGAAAAGCGUGGGGAGCAAACAGGG
rnacentral:rRNA from 1 species